GGGCCCGUAGUCUAGCGGUUAGGAUGCCCGCCUUACAAGGCGCACCCGCAACAGCCUAAGCUCGCGGGUGACCCCGGGUUCGAAUCCCGGCGGGCCCA
rnacentral:tRNA from 1 species